GCAACAGCUCAAAUUUGAAAUCUGGCCUUCAGGGUCCGAAUUGUAAUUUGCAGAGGAUGCUUUUGGCGCGGUGCCUUCCGAGUUCCCUGGAACGGGACGCCUUAGAGGGUGAGAGCCCCGUACGGUUGGACACCAAGCCUCUGUAAAGCUCCUUCGACGAGUCGAGUAGUUUGGGAAUGCUGCUCUAAAUGGGAGGUAAAUUUCUUCUAAAGCUAAAUACCGGCCAGAGACCGAUAGCGCACAAGUAGAGUGAUCGAAAGAUGAAAAGCACUUUGAAAAGAGGGUUAAAUAGCACGUGAAAUUGUUGAAAGGGAAGCGUUUACGGCCAGACCUUUUCCUAGCGGAUCAUCCGGUGUUCUCACUGGUGCACUUCGCUAGGUUUAGGCCAGCAUCGGCUUCUGUAGGGGGGAUAAAAGCAGUGGGAAAGUAGCUCCCUCGGGAGUGUUAUAGCCCUAAGCAUAAUACCUUUACGGGGGCCGAGGACCGCGCUUUUGCAAGGAUGCUGGCGUAAUGGUCGUCAACGACCCGUCUUGAAACACGGACCAAGGAGUCGAACAUUUGUGCGAGUGUUUGGGUGUUAAACCCUCACGCGUAAUGAAAGUGAACGGAGGUGAGAGCCCUUUAGGGUGCAUCAUCGACCGAUCCUGAUGUCUUCGGAUGGAUUUGAGUAAGAGCAUAACUGUUCGGACCCGAAAGAUGGUGAACUAUGCGUGGAUAGGGUGAAGCCAGAGGAAACUCUGGUGGAGGCUCGCAGCGGUUCUGACGUGCAAAUCGA
rnacentral:rRNA from 1 species